GGAAGGGCUGUAGUUCAGUGGUAGAGCAUCUGGUUCACAUGCAGAUCACAGGUUCUAUCUCUGGCAUUUCCA